GACGAACGCUGGCGGCGUGCCUAACACAUGCAAGUCGAACGGUAAGGCGCUGCUCUUGUGCGUUGCUCGAGUGGUGAACGCGUGAGAAUAACGCGAGUGUCACCCGCUUGGUUUUGGGGUAUCUUUAGGAGACUCGAUAUAAUACACCGCAUAAGCUCCUGCGGCACAUGGGGUUUAGGAAAGUGUCGUCGGUUCGGGACGGACUCGCGGCUUAUCGGCGUGUUGGUUGGGUAGUGUCUUACUAAGGCUUUGACGGGUAGCCAGCCUGAGAGCGUGACCGGGCCCAGUGGGACUGAGAUGCGGGCAAGACUGCUACGGGGGGCAGCAGUGGGGACUAGUGCACAAUGGGCGGAAGCCGUAUGGAGCAUCGCCGCGUGCGAGAUGACGGCUUUCGGUUUGGAAACCGCGUGCGCCUGUGACGAAGCGUGAGUGACGGUAACGGGUAAAGAAGCACCGGCUAACUACGUG
rnacentral:rRNA from 1 species